GGGUUGUACUGGUCUAUACUGGUUUAUACUGGUCUAUACUGGGCUGGGCUGGGUCGUACUGGGCUGUACUGGGAGGUACUGGUUUGUACUGGUUCAUACUGGUUUAUACUGGGAAGGGGAGGAAGUGGGUUCUCUGGUUCCUAUGGGUCUUUGUGGGAUUGUACUGGUCUAAACUGGUCUAUACUGGUUCAUACUGGUCCAUACUGGUCUCUACCGGUGCAGGUUCUGCCGAGCCCGCGCCGCCGUCCAAUCAGCGCUCUCUGCUGGGAUCCCGACGGAACCCGAUUGGUCGGCGCCCAAGUGGGCGGGGCCUUGCUGCUGUGGGCGUGGCCGGAAGGAGACCCGCUGUGGGCGGGGUCUGCGGGAGCCACGCCCCUUCCGGCUCAAGCCCCGCCCCUCGUCUUGGGUUAUCCCGGAGGUCACGUGACCGCGGUGGCCUUUGCCCCGCCCACUGCGCCGGGGGAGGGGCCAAGCAUCAUCACUUCCGGGCCCGGGGGGAAGGUUCUGCGCUGGCCCUCGUGCCGCGGCCGCUUGCACGCCGAGCUGCGCCUCCCCCCCCGUGACAACCACGACGGUGACGUCACGCCCGGCUCACGUGACGGGGGCCCCGGGUCACGUGACGAGGGCCCCGGGUCACGUGACGCCGGGCCGGGGCUGUGCGUGACCUUUGACCCCUGGGGGGCGCGGGUGGCGGUGGCGCACGGCGGGGCCGUGGUGGCCGUGCACCGGGCGCCGUGGGGUGCGUCACCUUGUCACCUCCGCUGUCCCCUCCGGGGUCAUUGUCACCUCUGUUUCCCCUCGGUGUCAUUGUCCCCCCCCUCUGUCCCCUCGGUGUCAUUCAUUGUCCCCUCUGUGUCACCAUUGUCCCCUCUGUGUCCCCUCUGUGUCAUUGUCCCCCCUUCUCUGUCCUCUCUGUGUCCCCUCGGUGUCACCCGUUGUCCCCUCUGUGUCCCCUCCGGGGUCAUUGUCACCUCUGUGUCCCCUCGGUGUCAUUGUCCCCCCCCUGUGUCCCCUCGGUGUCAUUCAUUGUCCCCUCUGUGUCACUCAUUGUCCCCUCUCUGUCCCCUCUGUGUCCCCUCUCUGUCCCCUCGGUGUCACUCAUUGUCCCCUCUGUGUCCCCUCGGUGUCACUCAUUGUCCCCUCGGUGUCACUCAUUGUCCCCUCUGUGUCCCCUCUCUGUCCCCUCGGUGUCAUUGUCACCGGUGUCUCUGUCCCCUCUGUGCCAUCACUGUCCCCUCUGUGUCCCCUCGGUGUCAUUGUCCCCCCUUCUCUGUCCUCUCUGUGUCCCCUCUGUGUCACUCACUGUCCCCUCUCUGUCCCCUCGGGGUCACUGUCACCUGUGUCCCCUCUCUGUCCCCUUGGUGUCACUCAUUGUCCCCUCUCUGCCCCCUCUGUGCCAUCAUUGUCCCCUCUGUGUCCCCUCUGUGUCAUUGUCACCCCUUCUGUGUCCCCUCUGUGUCCCCAUUGUCCCCUCUGUGCCAUUGUCACCCCUAUGUCCCCCUGUGUCGCUCAUUGUCCCCUCUGUGUCCCCUCAUUGCCAUUGCCAUUGUCAUUGUCAUUGUCAUUGUCCCCUCCCUGUCAUUGUCCCCUCCGUGUCCCCUCCCUGUCAUUGUCAUUGUCCCCUUCCUGCCAUUGUCAUUGUCAUUGCCAUUGCCAUUGUCCCCCCCGUCAUUGUCAUUGUCCCCUCCCUGUCAUUGUCCCCUCCGUGUCCCCUCAUUGCCAUUCAUUGUCCCCCCCUCUCAUUGUCAUUGUCCCCCCCAUCACUGUCAUUGUCCCUGUCAUUGUCAUUGUCCCCUCCGUGUCCCCUCCCUGUCCUUGCCAUUGUCCCCCCUUGUCAUUGUCAUUGUCCCCUCCCUGUCAUUGUCCCCUCCGUGUCCCCUCAUUGCCAUUCAUUGUCCCCUCCCUGCCAUUGUCAUUCAUUGUCCCCUUCCUGCCAUUGUCAUUGCCAUUGUCAUUGUCAUUGUCCCCCCCUGUCAUUGUCAUUGUCCCCUUCCUGCCAUUGUCACUGUCCCCUCUGUGUCAUUGUCCCCUCCGUGUCCCCCCCAUCAUUGUCACUGUCC
ensembl:lncRNA